UAGAGCCGUAUACGAGACCCGUACGUACGGUUCAAUGAGAGGGAGAUAGUCCUUUGCGAUUAUCUCUCUACUCUAU
rnacentral:ncRNA from 1 species